GCCCCCCUGUGGUCAACGAGAGACUGUGAGCGUGACGGGACAUGGACGUCCAGCAGGCAAAGAGGCUUCACAGAGACAGGCUGCAGCACACUGAGGACCACUGUGAUCCGAAGUGUAAUCCCAGACAAUGAGGCCGCGAUCAAACACACACUAUGAGGCCGUCGCUGGUUCUGCGCCUUUUUCCUGCUCAGAUUACGGUUUCGGGCUGGAUCUUAGACACUGACCUGGAGCCAUGCAAAUAAAUGUUUCUGAUUCUGAUCCGACUGGAGCAUCUUACCCUGAAUAGGGAGGUGGUGGGGCAUCGUGUUGUCCGCUGCGGUGCAGAGCCUCGUUGUAGCUGGGUAGAGCCGGGAGGGGGGCCAGGGGUACCGUCUCUAGGGCGGGCUGCCCAUCUGCCGCCAUCCUCACCGGAGCUCUGGACCGGCACACAGAAGACAAGUCAGGAGAGUUAAACCAGCCACCCAAAGCAGCAUCACUGUGCUCAAUGGAAGGGACUUCAUGGCUUUCACUUCCUGUUAAAGUCGAUGUCUAAUGCUCACCAGAUGGGGGUACUGGAGAGAUCUGUGAGACCAGAACUUUCUGUUGCCAUGCCAACCAUCACUUCUCACUCAAAUUGCUGAUAGAAUUGUAUUCUGAUAUGAAAUUGACUUGUUUACAGAGUGAAAGGAUUUCUUUGCCAGAAACUAAAUAGCGAGUCAUAACUAUAAGAAAACAGAAUGUUGAAUAGGUUGCAUACAUACAUUGUAAUAGAAUAAAAUAUAAUACAAUAGAA